GACGAACGCUGGCGGCGUGCCUAAUACAUGCAAGUCGAGCGAAUCAACGAGAGCUUGCUCCCUGAGAUUAGCGGCGGACGGGUGAGUAACACGUGGGUAACCCGCCUGUAAGACUGGGAUAACUUCGGGAAACCGGAGCUAAUACCGGAUACUUUCUUUUCUCGCAUGAGAGAAGAUGGAAAGAUGGUUCUGCUAUCACUUACAGAUGGACCCGCGGCGCAUUAGCUAGUUGGUGAGGUAACGGCUCACCAAGGCGACGAUGCGUAGCCGACCUGAGAGGGUGAUCGGCCACACUGGGACUGAGACACGGCCCAGACUCCUACGGGAGGCAGCAGUAGGGAAUCUUCCGCAAUGGACGAAAGUCUGACGGAGCAACGCCGCGUGAGCGAAGAAGGCCUUCGGGUCGUAAAGCUCUGUUGUUAGGGAAGAACAAGUACGAGAGUAACUGCUCGUACCUUGACGGUACCUAACCAGAAAGCCACGGCUAACUACGUGCCAGCCGCCGCCGUAAGAC
rnacentral:rRNA from 1 species